ensembl:lncRNA
UGAUUUGGGACACUCUGGCUGGAGGCAGAAGAAUAAAGUAAGCAGUUGUCUGGCCAACGGGAACUGAGAAGUAAUCCAAGCUGAUCUGCCCUGUCCACAGCCUGAUUUUAAAAUGAUCAGGAGAGUGUCACUUUUAUGGAUUUGCCUUGUGGAAAACCAACAGCAUAUGAGGAAAAGGAGACGAUUAUCUUCACUAAGAAAAAAAUUGUGCAAACAGUCUCAGUGCACAGGCAUGGCCACACAAACACAUAAACAGCCCUGGUUGAAUUUCUCGCCAUUAACCCACGUCCAGGGCAUCCCAGGGCAUCUGGGGACCUAGCAAACUAAGCAGCGUUUAUUCAGAUAUUCACUAGGGAACUUUCUAAAACUUUAGAGACAUGGAAACAUAUGCUCUAUGUACAGACAUGUAAAUCGUGCAAAAUGCAAGUGAACACCGAGAAGUCAACCACAAGGCAAAGCAGCUACUUCGUUCUGCCUCUCGCUUCUGUGAUUGGGGCGGGGACCCUGGAGGGCGGUUGUCUCAUGGCAGCCAGCCCUGUUCUUUAUUCGCAACCUGGACAGCAGUUCUCAUUCACGAACAUGUGCUAUUUAGCCCAAGACCAGAAGUUUUCUAUUCAAGCCAAGACCAGAAAUUUUCCAAGACAUGGAGGAAAGCACAGCGACCCUGAUGCAAUGUUUGUGGUUAAAUUAGGGUAGUUCAAUUGAUUUAAGUCUCCGGGAUGGCUUUUAGAUUGAAAAGCCUGCUAAUCCUGAGAGUAAAGCAGGUGUUGGUUUGCAACCCAGGAGUUCCCAGUUGAAAUCCGAAACUGGCCCCCGUACACGGCAGGCAAGGACAGACCCAUGACAGAGGCAGGCCACUCCAGAUUGGUAGGCGGUAGGUUUAAUAAGCAAGGGAACUGACAUACAAGGCUUGUCUUGGAUGGCUACAAGAUGAGUAGAUGUCCACACCGGCUCCACAGAAUCUUAAAAGUUUAUAUAGAGGCCUUAACUGGGUUGAGUCAUGUAUCCUGUCCAGAUGGCCUCAACGCCUUACUCUCUCAAGGCUGUACCCUUGAAAUAGCUCCUAGUGUGGGAAUGGUGGACAGAAUGUACCUUCCAAGGACAGAUGCGGGUGUGAGGGACCCCUGCUUGCCUGGGACCAGCUCACAGAUCAACCAGCGGCCACAUCCCCUUGAAGACUCCUCCAACAGCAGGAGAAAUAUGUUAUUUGAAGUGUGACAAAAUUCCUAAGGUGGCUAAAGAGCACAAUCCAUGUUUAAUAAGAAGGAAACUGGAUCGGGAGGAAAAUCAGCUGUAAUGUACAUUUAGAAAGGGAAGAAAUGCCAGUGUUGAACCUGGAAAUAUAGGUUUAAGUCUGCUUGAGGUCACGCAGGAGGGGACUGCAAAAGGAAAUCUUGGCUUCUCACUUUGAAAACGCAUUUGAAUUUAAUGUGUACACUCACAUUGAAGUUUUGACUCUUGCAUACUACCACUUGGUUACACCACAGGACAGCCCGGGUCAGGAGCAUCUGUGUCUGGACGCCCUGGGGCCCUUUUCCUGGCCUCUGGGAGUAUCUCCAGUGCAAUAUCUCACUGGGCUGCUGUAACUUCAAUGAACCAUAGAGGGAUACCGUUCCAGGAUAUGUGUAAACGUAUAGAUGAUGCCAAGAGCAAGCUUCCUUCUAAGGACUGGACACUGAAAGAUCGAGAGCUUGAUCAGUCCUACCAGGUCCCCCAUCCUAGAGAGGCACUUAUUGGGACCCCAGCAGCAUGAGGUUGCAAGAAGGACAGUUUGCAGGGACCGAGGAAGAGGUCAAACCCAGACCAGAACUCCUACACCAGGGAAGGAAAGAGGAAGCCCA